AGUUAUUUUUCUGUCAUUUUCUAGCAUUUGUAUUUGCAGAAGAGAUGGUUUACUUCCUCUGUGGGUAACCAGGUUAUCAGAUUUGGUGUUUUCCAAAGAAAAGGCACAUGGCAUGAUUCCACUUCUUGGCUCCCAUAGGGAAAAGAAGACAAGUAAAGAGAUGAAGACUUCUUCCAGGAACCUGAGGUACUUCAUUGUCUGCAGAGAUGCCUCAUCCUACACCCCUCAGUCACUCAUAUCUGGAUACAUUGGACCUUGUCAACAUCAAUAAUGGACAUACCUCUGAUAUUUGAACUCUGAAUCUCACUCUGUGACCACAACUUUGUAUCUUUCUAAGUCUUUAAUCUUCAACCUCACAGAACUCUUCAUACCCUAAAAUAUAGUAUUUUCACCUGGUCUGUCAUCCCCUUUUGUGCCUUCAUUUUUUUUCCUUACCAAGACUGGUUCCCAUGGUGAUCCCAUGAAUGACUUUAUCACUAAUAACCACA